rnacentral:sRNA from 1 species
GAUGCCAGGGUCAAAAGGUCUAAGCCCACAUGAGCUUGCUCAUAAGUGGGUGAAAGACCUUAGGACCCGCCCCGAUAUGAGCAUAAAAGUGGGAUGAUAAUCCCACGAUAUGCGAAUAGAGGGGAGGAUUGUGAGCGUACGUAGCACGGAACAAUCCGUAGGCAUC